GAAAGUAAAGAAGGGCGCAUGGCGGAUGCCUUGGCUCUCGGAGGCGAUGAAGGACGUGAUAAGCUGCGAUAAGCUCCGGGGAGGUGCAAAUAACCUUUGAUCCGGGGAUUUCCGAAUGGGACAACCCGGCGUGUUGAAGACACGCCACCUGAUCAUUUCAGGAGCUAACGCAGGGAACUGAAACAUCUUAGUACCUGCAGGAAAAGAAAAUAACAAUGAUUCCCCCAGUAGUGGCGAGCGAACGGGGAAUAGCCCAAACCGUUCAUGUUACGGCAUGAUCGGGGUUGUAGGACUACGUCGUUGCAUGAAGACAUCGGAGAAGAACUUUCUGGAAAGAAAGACCAUAGAGCAUGACAGUUGCGUAUUCGUAUGUUGUCGAAGCAUAGUAGUAUCCUGAGUAGCGCGGAGCACGAGGAAUUCUGCGUGAAUCUGCCGGGACCAUCCGGUAAGGCUAAAUACUCCCGAGAGACCGAUAGCGAACCAGUACCGUGAGGGAAAGGUGAAAAGCACUUCGAACAGAAGAGUGAAAUAGUUCCUGAAACCGUGCGCCUACAAGCGGUCGGAGCUGCUUAAAGCAGUGACGGCGUGCCUUUUGCAUAAUGAACCUACGAGUUGCCUUUGCCGGCAAGGUUAAGUGUGACGACACACGUAUCCGAAGCGAAAGCGAGUCUGAAGAGGGCGUAUAGUCGGCAGUGGCAGACGCGAAACCAAGUGAUCUACCCUUGGCCAGGUUGAAGGCUGGGUAACACCAGCUGGAGGACCGCACCAAUAAGCGUUGAAAAGCUUCUGGAUGAGCUGAGGGUAGGGGUGAAAGGCUAAUCAAACUUGGAGAUAGCUCGUACUCCCCGAAAUGCAUUUAGGUGCAGCCUUGUGGGUUACUGAUGUGAGGUAGAGCGACUGAUAAGAUGCGAGGGCUUCACCGCCUAUCAAGUCUUGACAAACUCCGAAUGCGCAUCAGUUCUACCGCAGGAGUGAGGGCAUGGGUGCUAAGGUCCGUGCCCGAGAGGAGAAGAAUCCGGACCACCUGCUAAGGUCCCGAAAUGACAGCUAAGUUAAACUAACGAAGUCUGACUGCUAAGACAGCUAGGAUGUUGGCUUGGAAGCAGCCAUUCAUUUAAAGAGUGCGUAACAGCUCACUAGUCGAGGAGUCGGGCGUGGAUAAUAAUCGGGUAUUAAGUUGUCUACCGAAGCAGUGGGAUCAUUAAUAUGAUCGGUAGGGGAGCAUUCCAGUCAGCGUCGAAGGCGUACCGUGAGGUAUUCUGGAGCGUCUGGAAAAGCAAAUGUAGGUAUAAGUAACGAUAAAGGGGGCGGGAAACCCCCUCGCCGAAAGACUAAGGUUUCCUGAUCAACGCUAAUCGGAUCAGGGUAAGUCGGGUCCUAAGGCUCAGCCGAAGGGCGAUGCCGAUGGCAGAAACGGUUAAUAUUCCGUUACUACCUCCAGGAGUGAUGUGGAGACGCAGUAGUGACAAUGCCGCCAUCUGACGGAAUAGAUGGUUGAAGGGUGUAGAUGUUGAUCUUGGCAGGCAAAUCCACCAUGAGAAUCGAACCUGAUAGUAUGCCGCGUCCCUCGGGACAAGGCAAUAGUGCAUGUAAUCAUGCUGCCAAGAAAAUCCGCUAAACUAAAUCCUGUAGGUACCCGUACCGUAAACGGACACACGUAGUCGGGAUGAAUAUUCUAAGGCGCUUGAGUGAUUCACGGUUAAGGAACUAGGCAAACUGACCCUGUAACUUCGGGAUAAAGGGUCCCUACCCGGUGACGGGAGGGCGCAGAGAAUAGGUCCAGGCAACUGUUUAACAAAAACACAGGGCUGUGCUAAAUCGAAAGAUCCUGUAUACAGCCUGACACCUGCCCGGUGCUGGAAGGUUAAGAGGAGAUGUCAUCGCAAGAGAAGCAUUGAAUUGAAGCCCCAGUAAACGGCGGCCGUAACUAUAACGGUCCUAAGGUAGCGAAAUUCCUUGUCGGGU
rnacentral:rRNA from 1 species